rnacentral:rRNA from 1 species
GGGUUGUGAGGUUAAGCGACUAAGCGUACACGGUGGAUGCCCUGGCAGUCAGAGGCGAUGAAGGACGUGCUAAUCUGCGAUAAGCGUCGGUAAGGUGAUAUGAACCGUUAUAACCGGCGAUUUCCGAAUGGGGAAACCCAGUGUGAUUCGUCACACUAUCAUUAACUGAAUCCAUAGGUUAAUGAGGCGAACCGGGGGAACUGAAACAUCUAAGUACCCCGAGGAAAAGAAAUCAACCGAGAUUCCCCCAGUAGCGGCGAGCGAACGGGGAGGAGCCCAGAGCCUGAAUCAGUGUGUGUGUUAGUGGAAGCGUCUGGAAAGGCGCGCGAUACAGGGUGACAGCCCCGUACACAAAAAUGCACAUGCUGUGAGCUCGAUGAGUAGGGCGGGACACGUGGUAUCCUGUCUGAAUAUGGGGGGACCAUCCUCCAAGGCUAAAUACUCCUGACUGACCGAUAGUGAACCAGUACCGUGAGGGAAAGGCGAAAAGAACCCCGGCGAGGGGAGUGAAAAAGAACCUGAAACCGUGUACGUACAAGCAGUGGGAGCACGCUUAGGCGUGUGACUGCGUACCUUUUGUAUAAUGGGUCAGCGACUUAUAUUCUGUAGCAAGGUUAACCGAAUAGGGGAGCCGAAGGGAAACCGAGUCUUAACUGGGCGUUAAGUUGCAGGGUAUAGACCCGAAACCCGGUGAUCUAGCCAUGGGCAGGUUGAAGGUUGGGUAACACUAACUGGAGGACCGAACCGACUAAUGUUGAAAAAUUAGCGGAUGACUUGUGGCUGGGGGUGAAAGGCCAAUCAAACCGGGAGAUAGCUGGUUCUCCCCGAAAGCUAUUUAGGUAGCGCCUCGUGAAUUCAUCUCCGGGGGUAGAGCACUGUUUCGGCAAGGGGGUCAUCCCGACUUACCAACCCGAUGCAAACUGCGAAUACCGGAGAAUGUUAUCACGGGAGACACACGGCGGGUGCUAACGUCCGUCGUGAAGAGGGAAACAACCCAGACCGCCAGCUAAGGUCCCAAAGUCAUGGUUAAGUGGGAAACGAUGUGGGAAGGCCCAGACAGCCAGGAUGUUGGCUUAGAAGCAGCCAUCAUUUAAAGAAAGCGUAAUAGCUCACUGGUCGAGUCGGCCUGCGCGGAAGAUGUAACGGGGCUAAACCAUGCACCGAAGCUGCGGCAGCGACGCUUAUGCGUUGUUGGGUAGGGGAGCGUUCUGUAAGCCUGUGAAGGUGUACUGUGAGGUAUGCUGGAGGUAUCAGAAGUGCGAAUGCUGACAUAAGUAACGAUAAAGCGGGUGAAAAGCCCGCUCGCCGGAAGACCAAGGGUUCCUGUCCAACGUUAAUCGGGGCAGGGUGAGUCGACCCCUAAGGCGAGGCCGAAAGGCGUAGUCGAUGGGAAACAGGUUAAUAUUCCUGUACUUGGUGUUACUGCGAAGGGGGGACGGAGAAGGCUAUGUUGGCCGGGCGACGGUUGUCCCGGUUUAAGCGUGUAGGCUGGUUUUCCAGGCAAAUCCGGAAAAUCAAGGCUGAGGCGUGAUGACGAGGCACUACGGUGCUGAAGCAACAAAUGCCCUGCUUCCAGGAAAAGCCUCUAAGCAUCAGGUAACAUCAAAUCGUACCCCAAACCGACACAGGUGGUCAGGUAGAGAAUACCAAGGCGCUUGAGAGAACUCGGGUGAAGGAACUAGGCAAAAUGGUGCCGUAACUUCGGGAGAAGGCACGCUGAUAUGUAGGUGAAGUCCCUCGCGGAUGGAGCUGAAAUCAGUCGAAGAUACCAGCUGGCUGCAACUGUUUAUUAAAAACACAGCACUGUGCAAACACGAAAGUGGACGUAUACGGUGUGACGCCUGCCCGGUGCCGGAAGGUUAAUUGAUGGGGUUAGCGGUAACGCGAAGCUCUUGAUCGAAGCCCCGGUAAACGGCGGCCGUAACUAUAACGGUCCUAAGGUAGCGAAAUUCCUUGUCGGGUAAGUUCCGACCUGCACGAAUGGCGUAAUGAUGGCCAGGCUGUCUCCACCCGAGACUCAGUGAAAUUGAACUCGCUGUGAAGAUGCAGUGUACCCGCGGCAAGACGGAAAGACCCCGUGAACCUUUACUAUAGCUUGACACUGAACAUUGAGCCUUGAUGUGUAGGAUAGGUGGGAGGCUUUGAAGUGUGGACGCCAGUCUGCAUGGAGCCGACCUUGAAAUACCACCCUUUAAUGUUUGAUGUUCUAACGUUGACCCGUAAUCCGGGUUGCGGACAGUGUCUGGUGGGUAGUUUGACUGGGGCGGUCUCCUCCUAAAGAGUAACGGAGGAGCACGAAGGUUGGCUAAUCCUGGUCGGACAUCAGGAGGUUAGUGCAAUGGCAUAAGCCAGCUUGACUGCGAGCGUGACGGCGCGAGCAGGUGCGAAAGCAGGUCAUAGUGAUCCGGUGGUUCUGAAUGGAAGGGCCAUCGCUCAACGGAUAAAAGGUACUCCGGGGAUAACAGGCUGAUACCGCCCAAGAGUUCAUAUCGACGGCGGUGUUUGGCACCUCGAUGUCGGCUCAUCACAUCCUGGGGCUGAAGUAGGUCCCAAGGGUAUGGCUGUUCGCCAUUUAAAGUGGUACGCGAGCUGGGUUUAGAACGUCGUGAGACAGUUCGGUCCCUAUCUGCCGUGGGCGCUGGAGAACUGAGGGGGGCUGCUCCUAGUACGAGAGGACCGGAGUGGACGCAUCACUGGUGUUCGGGUUGUCAUGCCAAUGGCACUGCCCGGUAGCUAAAUGCGGAAGAGAUAAGUGCUGAAAGCAUCUAAGCACGAAACUUGCCCCGAGAUGAGUUCUCCCUGACUCCUUGAGAGUCCUGAAGGAACGUUGAAGACGACGACGUUGAUAGGCCGGGUGUGUAAGCGCAGCGAUGCGUUGAGCUAACCGGUACUAAUGAACCGUGAGGCUUAACCUUACAACGCCGAAG